rnacentral:rRNA from 1 species
GAUGAACGCUAGCGGCAGGCCUAACACAUGCAAGUCGAGGGGCAGCACAGAAACAGCAAUGUUUUGGUGGCGACCGGCGGACGGGUGCGUAACGCGUAUGCAACCUACCUUUAACAGGGGGAUAACGGAGAGAAAUUUCCACUAAUACCCCAUAACAUCGAUCAAGGCAACUUGAUUGGUUGAAAACUCCGGUGGUUAAAGAUUGGCAUGCGUUGUAUUAGGUAGUUGGUGAGGUAAUGGAUCACCAAGCCUACGAUACAUAGGGGGACUGAGAGGUUAGCCCCCCACACUGGUACUGAGACACGGACCAGACUCCUACGGGAGGCAGCAGUGAGGAAUAUUGGUCAAUGGGGGCAACCCUGAACCAGCCAUGCCGCGUGCAGGAAGACGGCUCUAUGAGUUGUAAACUGCUUUUAAACAGGGAUAAAGCACAGUAUGUAUACUGUGUUGAAGGUACUGUAAGAAUAAGGAUCGGCUAACUCCGUGCCAGCCGCCGCAGUAA